rnacentral:rRNA from 1 species
GACGUAGGAGGCGAGCGUUGUCCGGAUUCAUUGGGCGUAAAGAGCACGCAGGCGGUUUGGCAAGUCGGAUGUGAAAACCCGAAGCUCAACUUCGGGCCUGCAUCCGAAACUGCCCGACUAGAGGUAGGUAGGGGAGAUCGGAAUUCCUGGCGUAAGCGGUGAAAUGCGCAGAUAUCAGGAGGAACACCGGUGGCGAAGGCGGAUCUCUGGG